rnacentral:rRNA from 1 species
CUACGUAGGGUGCGAGCGUUGUCCGGAAUUACUGGGCGUAAAGAGCUCGUAGGUGGUUUGUCGCGUCGUCUGUGAAAUUCCGGGGCUUAACUCCGGGCGUGCAGGCGAUACGGGCAUAACUUGAGUACUGUAGGGGAGACUGGAAUUCCUGGUGUAGCGGUGAAAUGCGCAGAUAUCAGGAGGAACACCGGUGGCGAAGGCGGGUCUCUGGGCAGUAACUGACGCUGAGGAGCGAAAGCAGGGGUAGCGAACAGGAUUAGAUACCCUGGUAGUCCAUGCCGUAAACGGUGGGCGCUAGGUGUAGGGGUCUUCCACGACUUCUGUGCCGUAGCUAACGCAUUAAGCGCCCCGCCUGGGGAGUACGGCCGCAAGGCUAAAACUCAAAGGAAUUGACGGGG